rnacentral:lncRNA from 1 species
GCCAGGCAGUAGUGGUGCACCUGUAAUCCCAGCUACUCAGGAGGCUGAGGUAGGAGAAUCACUUGAGCCCGGGAGGCGGAGGUUGCAGUGAGCCGAGAUGGCGCCACUGCACUCCAGUCUGGGUGACAAAGUGAGACGCUGUCUCAAAAAAAAUAAUAAAAUAAAAUAAAAUAAAAACAAGAAAACAAAAAGAAAACACACACACACACACACACACACACACACACACACACAAAACCCCAAAAAAGUGACUUGGCUGAAAUUAACCUAAAAUUGACUUCUGAAGCCAAAGCCUGAGAUCACUAUGAGAGAAUACAGGGUCUAAUCUCCAGUGUACAUGUCAAAAAGGGGAAUGGGCUGCAGCAUCUAGAGAGGAGACCAUCCUGUAGACCCAUCCUGUUGUUUUACAAAGUGUGGGAAACCACUGAUGAGGUAGGUGUGUUUUGGGUGGAGAAGGAAAGGCAGGGUAGAAGAGAGCGGAAUCCAGCCAGGCAGCCCCCAAUGGAAGAAUAUUCAACUCUAGCUCAACGUGGGGAAGGUAAUGACUUUGAUCCUUCCAGUUACCUUUUCUAGAGGGAAUAUGGAAAGAAUCCAGAGUGGACAAGGGCAGCCUCACAUUAGGACCCCAUCCAAUGGGCAUAUCUGUCACUUUCCAGCACACCAGGACUCUAGGGCGCCAGGAUGGGCAUAGCUGUGGCAGAGGUGAGAGGCAGCCUGUGGGAGGCUGUGAGCCCAGGUGGCCACCUGGUCCUUAUAGCCAUGAGGUUUGCAGGCAGUGCCUCAAGCAUCACAGCAGCUGCAGUGCAGGCACCUGGCUGUGGACAACCUCAUGGGGGUGGCGAGCAGGUGGCCCAAGGUGCCAGGGCCAGCAUGGCAUCCGCAGGGUCAGCUAGUCUUCAGUGCUGCCAAGAAGAGUUUAUGAGCUGCCUCUCCUCUGCUACCAGGAAACAGCCUGAUGGGGUGCGUAGGGACUGAAGUUUCCACAAUUAGCUGGAGGAAGAGGAGAUCUUGAGAAACAGUGGUAAUUUCGCUGUAAUUGUAUGUGUGCCACUCCCCGGCCCUGAAGGGCAUGAGCAAGAAAGACUGAAAGUUGUGAAAUGUACCAGGGAAGACACUGCGGUUCUGUGGUGACGGUGAAAAUGAACGUCUCAAAAGCUGGGUGAUGGCUCAGCUGGACCCAGCAUGUUAGCAACCCGUGUUUGAACAGAAGGAAAUGAAAAAUAAAGUAGAAGGACAAGGGAAGGAAAUUGGGAUCUCUUUUCAUGGAGGCACAGAAUGAAAUGAGGUCUCACCAUAUUGCCCAGGCUGGAGUGCAGUGGCUAUUCACAGGCACGAGCACAGCAUGCUACAGUCUCAAGCCUCCCGAGUAGCUAGGACUACAGGCAAGUGCCAGCGUGCCUGGCAAAGUGGCAUAUGUUUCACCUUAAGAGGCCUUUUCAGGUAUCUGGAAGAGUUCUGUUCCUAAUCACCGCCUGUCCAAUUUUAUGAGUCUCCUGGCUGAGGUUUUCUAUGACCAUGGUGAUAUUGACAAGCUCUCCUGCUAUUAUUGAACCAUAGUACGUAGGAUUUUCUCAUUCUUUAAGCCUUUGGUAAAGUGUAGAAUGAAGAGGCAUGGGAGGAGGAGAAGACAGCCCACAAUUCCUCUUCCGUAGUUAAAGUUUUUGAACUUAGAUCAAGGUCUAACUUUUCUCAUCUUGAAUCACAUUAUCUAAAGACUUCUUUUUCCAAAAAGGGAACUUUAUGGGACAAACCGACCCUGGAUCCUGUUAGGGCCUAUCCUUGAAGCAGGCAUUGAUUACCAAGAUAACAAAUCCCUGUCCAAUAUGCAGGUAAUAGCCAAUGGGCUUUCAUGCUCCAAAGCCAGUAGCCAUUAAUAACGGCCAUCAGUCUUUGGCCAAAAUACUAAGGAGUUGACAAGUGGUAUUAUAAUGCCUUAUGCCUCUAUUGAGUGUGAUUCAGGCCAAUGAUGUUUUUAGUAUAGAGAUUUUCAGGUAGAUCUAAACCAAAAUUACUUGGAUCUGACUCUGUCCAUAUGCUAUGCCUUUUUAAAAUAAGGGCUAUAAAAGUAAGGCAGCCUCUAACCAUUCCCCAGUUCUUUCUCAAGUUCUAUUUGUGGGAAAGUUUGGUUGCAAAAGCUAAAUCCUACGACAGGUACCCAAGUGUUGUUUUGGUACAGACAGGAACCUCCCUGUCUAGGUAGGACACAUAAGAAAUUUUAGAUUUCUAGCCAUCUUAUUUAGCAUUUGCCAUCUAAAGUCUCUCCAUGUUUGAGUCCAAUUACCUAGGAAGCCAAAUGAAUUCACACCAAGCCAUGGAAUUGGUACCCAAGGAUGCUGAAUAGCACGUAUUGGAAAGUGACGCCAAUGUGUUUUAGCCAAAUCACAAGUUAACUCUAGCCAGGUGUUGGACUCAAACCAAGGAGAGACUAAGGAUGCAAAAAACAAUAUGAAGAGUAAGGUAUGGACUUUCUUUGAAUCCUAACUUAAACAAAGCACUAAGUUUUAAAAAAUAUGAUGAGGCAGUUGGGAAGAUUUAAACACAGAUGACGUUUUCUAGUAUUAAAAAAUUAUUUAUUUUUUAAAAGAUGUGGUAGUAGUUUUUUAAAGUCUUUAUCUUUUAGAGAUAUGUACUGAAAUAUAUAUAAAGAAAUAAUAGGGUGUCCAAAUUUUGAUUCAAAAUAAC